GGAGGCGGGGGGCGGCGGCGGGCGGCGGAGCGCGGGGGCUGGUUCCUGGUCCCCGGGAGAAGCCAAGAAGGUCCUGAGUUCAAGAGAAACAGGUGUCUAAACAGAAGUAAAAUCCUGUGGAAGUUUAGGAUAAUUGAAUUACUCGCAAAUUGGAGUAUCCUGGAAAACUUCCUGGAGGAAGUGGCCUGUGCUUUGUAUCAGGAAAAAUAGGUAUCAGAAUGGUGCGUGGGUUUGGUUUGAAGCUAAAGAAAGGAGAAAGAGCCAGAGAAGAAGAAAAAAAGGUAUUUUGCCUGAGGACUUGAGGCUCCCCCCCCCAACUUUCCUCCGCUUGACUGACUUUCUCACACUCAGAUUCCCUGCAGCCUGCCAGGGACGUGGUAACUGCCCUGCCAAGAGUGAUCCUGGGAGAGCUAUUGAAAGAGCUCUGAGUAAGUACACACUGGGCGGAUUUUCCCUCCCCUUCGUACCUGCUCCGCACCUGUACAGGGAGCAGUCCCACACAUAUCACCUGAUCGCAGCCCUUUCAGAGACCGUGAGAAAAAUAAAGUCCAGCAUAGAAGAGAUGUUUGUCUCUGCAGGGCUGCAGCCAGCUCCCCACGGUCCGGGUGCCCAGAAACAGCACAUUCCUGGCCGGGUGUGCACGCGUGUUUGCCCACACGCGCGUGCUGGGUGGGGGCACCAGCAGGGGAGGGGAGCCGGGCAUCACCUGCGUAAUAACUGCUUUGCUGCCUCCAUUUUUGGGCAUCCUUCCUGUCUGGAAGUUUUGUGAUCCUCUACUAGAAUCAUUAUUAUGGUCCCUCUAGACAAGAGUCUGUGUAUGCUCAUCACAGCUGAAUGCAUCACCAGGAUGUCAGACAUUAGGGUUCAUGGAUGAAACGCCCUGGGGCCUCUGAAGCCCUUGAAAUGGACCUUUAGAAAGAGCUUCUUUUUCCCCCGUGUUUGUCUUUUUAGGGCCUCCUUGGCAUAUGGAAGUUCCCAGGCUAGGGGUGGAAUCCGAGCCACAUCCGUGACCUACACCGCAGCUCACGACAACGCUGGAUCAUCAACCCACUGAGUGAGGCCAGAGAUCAAACCCGAGUUUUCCUGCACACCAGUUAGGUUUGUUACCACUGAGCCGCAACAGGAACUCCCAGGAGCUUUAUGAGUGAAUGAAUAAAUGCAUCAUUCCACCCCCACCUCACCGCCGCCACCCCGGGGGAGAGAGUCUACAGCUUUUAGCAGAAUCUCAAAGUUUUUUGUAACGCAGGAAGGUUGAGGAAGCUGAUCCAGGCAAUCUCGAUGUAUAAGUGGGUACUCUAAGGCCCAGAGAGGGCCAGGGACUGGUUCAGGCAACAUAGGGCAGAGUGGGGGCCAGAAGCCAGCUCGGAGUCCUUUGUACCAUUCCCCAGUGCUGUGGAUCUUGGGAAAUUUAGGGUGGGGUUUAUGGAGUUGGGAUCACCGCUAGAACUUGGAUUUAAAAUAGACACUUUAAUAAAGGUCCUUUGAGUCUCCAGAACUUUGUUUUCUUAAUUUGGGGGGUACUUGAGCUGCUCUGCACGCAGCAUUUGGACAGAGAUAGGAUGGGGGAAAGCCAAGUGUCUGCCCAUAGAAGAGGAUUCAGGAAUGCUUGGAGCAAGAGUCCUGGUUGCCAUGCAGAGGCAUUAGAAACGAUCACAACCCUGCAUUCCAUCUUUGAUAAAAACCAAGUUGCUACUUUGGAACAAAACUGCCUAGUUGGUUUCUGGCCAAGCUGGGACCUUGCACUGCAAACUGGGGGCGAGGGCAGAAAACAGAAGCUUUCAACAUUGGCUCAUAGCAGCCUCCCCUGACCCCUCCCCUCCCUGCCCCCCUGAAAACUUGACUAGAGCCAGUGAGACCAAGGGAAAGUGCACUUUCCUAAUGGUCCCUGAACAGGAUGGUUGCCAAGAAGGCCUUUCCUGAUGGGGCGGGGGCAGGGCACCGGAAUGCCUUCACUCCCACAUUUGGCUGGCCCACAGCAGCCUUGGAGGGCAGGGUCUAAACGUGCUGUCAGCUAACCUCUAACCCUCUGAGCAAAACUGCGGGGAGGCCAGCCUGCAAGCCCCAGGUUGAAGGCAGGUGCUCCCGCGAGAUCACAUGCCUGCUGGCUUGCACACUUGUGGUGAAUGACUCGAAACAGUGCUGGGGCUGGUGCCUUUGGGAGCUUCUGGGAAGUUCAGGAAGGUGGGUGAAGCCUUAGCCCCUUUAAACCCAGACCAUGUUUGUGUUUGCUGAUACCUGCUCAAAUUGUGACAUCGGGUCACGUUUCUCAAAAAAUCAAAAACAGAAACAAUUCAGCUAGCCAAGAAAAUCAGUUGGAUAAACCUUAGGACCUGACAUUGAUAUAGGAUGAAUGUAUCUGGCAUCUUUUCAAUUAAGAUUGCCAUCAUUGUUACCUUGCUUAUUAUCCUCAGCCUAUAGGACAAGGAUGGGGGGAGGCAGAGGAUGGGACCUAAGAGGUGGCCGAAUGGGUCCAUUCAUUGAAUGCAUUGGAAAACUGAACCCAGGGAGAAGCGACUGGCCCAAGGUUUAACAACUUCCCCAGAGAGGGAAGAGCAAAGCCAGAAUUAGGCUCAGGUUUUCCACCCACCAGUCCAGUAACCCUCCCCACUGUGUCUAUGAGAAGAACGCUUUGAAAUAUCAUCUGCAGCAAGUGACUAACGUUACCAACAAGAAGGGUUUUCCGGUUAAGAACCGGAGCUACCUGCUGGUAAGUGAGUGUGGCAGUGUGACACACCAUGCCCAGCAUAGAGUGUGGUUAAAGGCCAGGCUUGCUGCACUGUGAUUCCCUUUUGGAUUUGCUGACUACCCUGUAAUCUCUGGAAAAGAAGGAAUCUUGGUUUCCAAGUUCCAGAAGACAGGAAGUCGCUUGCAGAGGCCAUACAGAAUAGCAGAGGGAGAGGUGAGAAAGAAUGGAUUUUCCAAGUGGUAGGUAGAUGCUAUUUGCAUGUGAGCUGUAUAUGUUCCUUUUAAAUAAUCAGGCUUAGGAAACAGGAAGAGACAAUCCUGGCAGCUGUCACAACUGCAGCUUAAGACUCUGGUGGGUUCCAUCAGGUCUGGGAGCUUCUGGUCUCUUUCACAGAGGUACCUGUCCUGCUGCCUUGUAGUAUUUGACGGCUGACAGGCACUUUUUAGUCCAUUACAGCACUUCGUCCUCAUGUGUAGCCUUAUAAUCUUGCCUGGAAGGACUUUGGUGAAAGGCCCAGGGAGGGGAGGGAUGAUUCAGGUGACCAGUUCAGGAGGCUUUUGGCUAGACCCUGGGCUGUUGGGGGCCCAGAACAUAGGCUAGACAAGCUUUCCAGG
rnacentral:lncRNA from 1 species